AAUGAAAAGAUAUUUUAAGCAGAGGAAAUAAGAGGAAUGCGUUAUGAUUUGACGGUUUCGGGCUUGGAUUUGGUGAUAAAAGCGUUGGAGUAGAUAACUCCAGCAAGUCCACCACCAAUAAGUGGACCAAUCCAAUAAACCUAAUGUCCUGAAAAAUUUCCAACGGCAAGAGAUGAUCCAAAAGAACGUCCAGGGUUCAUUGGACCACCAGAGAAUGGGCCGGCUGCAAGAAUGUUAGCACCAACGAUGAGUCUGAUAGCAAGUGGAGCGAUGGUUCCGAGAGUGCCAUUGUUGGAGUCAAUGGCUGUGGCGUAAACAGUGUAGACCAAUGCGAAUGUGAUUAUGAUCUCCAUCACUACUCUUUGUGUUGAUCCUACUCUAACCGCAACGCUGUGGAUUGGAAUCGCCUGCGUUUAAAAGAAUUUUU
rnacentral:sRNA from 1 species